rnacentral:lncRNA from 1 species
UUUUUUUUUUUUUUUCGGAAUGAUGGAGAACUGAAGUUAGUUUUUGUUUUUUUUUUUAAAAAAUGAAUGUUGAACAAAUGUUUCCUCCAUAACUGAUCCAUUAUGGCUGGCCAUUUUAUGACUUUAAGAUUUGCCAAUGAAAGUGAAAAUCAGACUCAAAUACAAUGAAGAGACUGUGCCAUGGAGUCCACGGCGCAGGUGGAGGUGUGGAGUGAUUGCGUAUUUCAUGGAGUCAGGCUUGAUCAUUUUGGACAGUGACUGAGCAGUCCUAGUGCAGAGUGUUUGGGUGGGAGAGACCUGUAGGCCAUAUUUCAAGGAAAAGAUUCCAGAAAUUUAAAUUGAGGAGUUGGUUCUAUUUUUAUUUCACUUAAGCAUGCCUGGUUUCCUAUCUCUUGUGCUAUGAACAAAGGCUGCUAAUUUUCCCAAUUAAAAUGGAAAAUGCUCAGGGUGGCUUUAUGAGGCCCCAAAUAAUUGGAUAUGUAUUCUCCUCCUGGUGGAGUCCUGCCCACAUUUACUCAAAUACCUAGAAUGUAUUGUCCACGACCUACUACACACCGGACUUUUAGGUACACUGGAGAUGUUUGACUGAAUUUUGAGGAAGAUGCUAUCAUUUUGUGUCCAAAGUUGGAGAGCAAGCAGGAAUCAUUCUGGAUAUAUCAUUUCCUGUAUCUGCACUUCAUCUAUUGAUUGUAUUUCUUUUGCUGAUAUUCAUUCUACCAGAUAAACCAGCAGUUCCCAAACAUUUUGGUCUGAGUAUCAUUUUAUACUCUUAAAAAUGUUUGAGAACUUGUUCAUGUGGUUUCAUCUAUUGAUAUUUACCAUAUUAGAAAUUAAGAUUGGAAAAUUUUUUUUGGCUAUGCCUGUGACAUGUGAAAGUUCCUGGGCCAAGGAUCAAACUCACACAACAGCAGUGACCUGAGCCACAGCAGUGACAAUGCUGGAUUCUUAGCCUGCUAAGCUAUUGGGGAACUCCAAGAUUGGUAAAUUUUUAAAAUAGUUUUCAAAUUAUUAUGAAAUAGCAUUGAUAAAUUCAUUACAUGAUAACAUAAAUAACACAUUCUAAUCAACAUAUCUAUAUUGCCUCAAACAAAAAUAUUUUGUAAGAAAAAUGGCAUUGUUAUACAUUUUUUGCAAAUCUCUUUUAAUACAUGGUUUAAUGAAAGAUUCCUCAUUCAAUCUAUUGUGACAUCACAUGUCAUACAACUUCUAGAAAUCUUCACAUACCAUCAUGAAAUAAUGACAGUAAAAGAGGCAAGAUCAAUUUAGAAUUAUGCUCUUUCAGUAGCAUAACUUUGACAUCUUGGCUCCUCUGAAAGGGAGGAGUCUAUGGGGUCCUGGGCAAUUCUUUGAGAACUGCUAAGAUAAACAAACCUGAAUAAAAUGAUGAUUGGCUUAAAUACCUUACCUUGUUCAAAACCCUAUUAAGAGUCUUGACUGGUUCCACCUUCUUCAGAAAUUAGUUUAAUGGUCACCACUUAAGAGAGGGUUUCUCUGGCAAUUCUCUCUGAGGUAAGCAUUCCUCACUUUCAGUGUUCUGGAGUUUAGUACCCAGUUUUUCUGUUGUUGUUUUUUGUUGAACUGAUUUUAAUUUGUAAUCAAAUUGUAAUUUGACUUUUUGACUUGGCUGUCUCCCUCACAAGACUAUAAACUUUUUGAGUUUUCCUGUCUUGUCUGCUAUUCUAUCCCUCAAGUGUAGUGCUGUGCCUAGUGCAGCGUUGAUAUCCAAUAAUUAUUUGCUGACUUAAUUAGUGAAUAAAAUAGUGGUUAGUUUUGUUUUUAUCACUUUCCUUUUGGCCUUCAGUCCUUAUACUGAGAUGAUCAGUGGACACAGAAGAGUUGUGGUAAGCACAUUUUAAUUAAUUCAUUCAAAUAAACAAUGUUUCUUGAGUGCCUCUCAUGCGCUGGUCAAGUUCACAGGAUAAAAAGGUGAGUAGGUACCCAUCCCCAGUCAUAGCCCUGUAUAAUGAGGAAUACCAAAAGAGGAAUCUUUAGCUGAAUCCUGAACAGAAAAUGUAGUUGCCAUGAGGAGAGAAGCAAGUCAGUCUCCAAGAUGAGUGAAAGCCUGAUACACUGAAAGAACUGCAAGGAAGUCAGUUUGAAUGAGUCAUUUCGAUUGCAAGAAGAUUGUAGGGGAGAAUAAGGAGAAAAAUGAGAUGUGUGGUGAGAGGCAUGUAGAUCCCAGGAUCCCAGAGACCUUGGGUACAAUAUUAAGGAGUCUGGGCUUUAACUUAAAGGCUGACCUUUAUGUGGAUGCAUCAAACCCAUCAACAACAGAAAGUUUGUAGGCUCAUAGACAUGUCCACCAAGCACAGAGCCAGGGACUCCACGUUGCCUUUUGCUAUGCAGACCCACAUCCCAGGACGGCUCAUCGAACUCUCAGCCAUAUUCACUCAUAUUUAUCUAAGCCUUUGAUUUUAUGAGACAGCACUGAUACCAGUCUUCUAAUUGAAAGAAGUUAUUCUGCUAAACAAAACAUUAGUAGGAAGUCAUGUGGUACUACUAAUUCUGAAGUAGAUACUAAUUAUUUUGCCAGUGCAUAUUUCUUAUUGACAAAGAAACAGAAAUUCUAAAGAGAAUAUUCAUAAAUGAAAUCCGGAAAUAUAUAAAAGAAAGCAAGUUUGCAAAGAAUUUAUUUAUUUUUAUUUUUAAUUUUAAUUUUUUUUAUGGCUGUGGCUGUGGCAUAUGGAAGUUCCCAGGCUAGGGGUCGAAUUGGAGCUGCACCUGCUGGCUUACACUACAGCAACAGCAAUGUAGGAUCUGAAGGGUGUCUGCAACCUACACCAUAGCUCACAGCAACGCCAGAUCCUUAACCCACUGAGUGAGGCCAGGGCUUGAAUGCACAUCCUCAUGGAUACUAGUUGGGUUUGUUAUUGCUGAGCCACAACAGGAACUCCAUAGCAAAGGAUUUAUAACAUUUCUGCACAGAUAAUUUUUAAAAAUUACUGAGACAAAGUUUAAAAUACCUAAAUAAAUGAAGGGGCAACCAUUUUUAAGGAGGAAAAGGCUCAUUAUCAUUAAAAUGUGAAUUCUCCCUAAAGUUAAAAAUCUCAGAUACUUUUUUGUGGAAAUUGACAACUUGAUUCUAAAAUUUAUAUGGAAGUACAAAUGACCAAGAUUAGCAAAGGUACUCUUGAAGAACAGGUCCUAUAUAGGCAUUUAUUAAGACCACAUUAACUAAAAUAGUAUUGAUGCAGAGAUGGACAAGAAUAGAAUCCAGAAACAAACCAUAUAAAUAAGUAUAUACAACUAAUUAGCCACUUCAAUGAAGUGUAAAACAAGAUUCAUUUAUUUUAAAGCUGCAGGAUACAAAAGUAAUACACAGAAACCUGUUGCAUUUCUACACAAUGAAUUAUCAGAAUACACAUUCUACUAACAAUGAAUUAUCAGAAGGCUAAAUAAGGGAAACAACAACAUUUACCAUUGCAUAAAAAACAAUAAAAUCCCUAGAAAUAACCUACCUAAGGAGGUAAAAGAGCUGUAUUUGGAAAAUUUUAAGACACUAAUGUAAGAACUCAAAGAUGACACAAACGGUUAUGAAAAUAUACCAUGUUCAUGGAUUGGAAAAAUUAAUAUAGUUAAAAUGACCAGUGGAAUGCUAUUCAGCCAUAAAAAGAAUGAAAUUUUGCCAUUUGCAACAGCAUUUCAACUUGGAGGGUAUUAUGGUAAGUGAAAUAAGUCUGACAGAGAAAGACAAAUAUUGUAUGAUAACAUUUAUAUAUGGAAUCUAAAAAAUAAAACAAACCAGUGAAUAUAAAAAAAAGGAGAGACUCGCAGAUACAGAGAACAAACUAGUGGUUACCAGUGGGGAGAGGAAAGCAGAGAGGGGCAAGAUAGGGAUAGGGGAUUACAAGGUACAAACUAUUAUGUAUAAAAUAAAAAUAAAAAAGCCACAAUGAUUAUAUUGUACAACAUAGGGAAUAUAACCAAUAAUUUCUAAUAAUUAUAAAUGGAAUAUAACCUUUAAAAAUUGUGAAUCACCAUGCUGUACACCUGUAACUUAUAUAAUACUUAGUACAUAAUAUACUUAUAUACUAUAGUAUAGUAUAUAAUAUAUAAUAUAAUACAUCAACUAUAUCUCAAUUUAAAAGUGUAAAAAAGUUUAGGAGUUGCCAUCGUGGUGCAGCAGAAAGGAAUCCGACUAGGAACCAUGAGGUUGUGGGUUUGAUCCCUGGCCUUGCUUGGUGGAUUAAGGAUCCGGGGUUGCCAUGAGCUGUGGUGUAGGUGGCAGACGUGGCUCGGGUCUGGUGUCACAGUGGCUGUGGCGUAGGCCUGCAGCUGUAGCUCUGAUUUGACCCCUAGCCUGGGAACUUCUAUAUCUCACGGCAACGCCGGAUCGUUAACCCACUGAGCAAGGGCAGGGACCGAACCCGCAACCUCAUGGUUCCUAGUCGGAUUCGUUAACCACUGCGCCACGACGGGAACUCCAGAAUAAUAAAUGAAUCUUAAUCUCUAGGUUACACCAUCCACAAAAAUCAAUUCCAGAAGC